rnacentral:lncRNA from 1 species
GUUGGGGCUGCGUGGGGGUACUGGAAGACUGGAGUUGGGGUUACUGGAAGACUGGAGUUGGGGUUACUGGAAGACUGGAGUUGGGCUGCUGGGGGUACUGGAAGACUGGAGUUGGGCUGUUGGGGUACUGGAAGACUGGAGUUGGGCUGCUGGGAGUACUGGAAGACUGGAGUUGGGCUGCUGGGGAUACUGGAAGACUGGAGUUGGGCUGCUGGGACUGGAAGACUGGAGUUGGGCUGCUGGGGGUACAGGAAGACUGGAUUGGGGCUGCUGGGGGUACUGGAAGACUGGAGUUGGGCUGCUGGGGGUACUGGAAGACUGGAGUUGGGCUGCUGGGGAUACUGGAAGACUGGAGUUGGGCUGCUGGGGGUACUGGAAGACUGGAGUUGGGCUGCUGGAAGACUGGAGUUGGGCUGCUGGGGGUACUGGAAGACUGGAGUUGGGCUGCUGGGGGUACUGGAAGACUGGAGUUGGGCUGCUGGGGGUACUGGAAGACUGGAGUUGGGGCUGCUGGAAGACUGGAGUUGGGCUGUUGGGGGUACUGGAAGACUGGAGUUGGGGCUGCUGGAAGACUGGAGUUGGGCUGCUGGGGGUACUGGAAGACUGGAGUUGGGCUGCUGGGGGGUACUGAAAGGCUGGAGUUGGGCUGCUGGGGGUACUGGAAGACUGGAAUACCGGAGGCUGGGGCAAGGCGAGCUGCG